UGGGAUGUAGCUCAGUGGUAGAGCAUGUGCUAGUGUGCAUGAGGCUCUGGGCUCAAUCCCCAGCACCCCGC
rfam:Heterocephalus glaber contig87273, whole genome shotgun sequence.